UACGUAGGGGGCGAGCGUUGUCCGGAGUUACUGGGCGUAAAGCGCUUGUAGGCGGUCCACCAAGUUUGUGGUGACAGUUGCCGACUUAAUCGGCAAAGUGCCUCAAAGACUGGCGGACUUGAGGGCCACAGAGGGACAUGGAACUCGAGGUGUAGUGGUGAAAUGCGUAGAUAUCUGGAAGAACACCAAAGGCGAAGGCAGUGUCCUGGGUGGUCGCUGACGCUGAGAGGCGAAAGCCAGGGGAGCGAACGGG
rnacentral:rRNA from 1 species